ensembl:lncRNA LINC02987 long intergenic non-protein coding RNA 2987
GGGAGCAGUAGCAUCUUAGCUGCUUCCGGCCGCUGGUCGCAGGGCUGCGGGACUACAAUCUUCGCAUGAAAUGGAAGAGAGGGUGGUGCGGAUAGCUUGAGGAAGUUCCGUUUCCCUCCAGAGCAUCAAGCCUCCUCCCGCCCAGGGGGCCUCCUGCUUUCCUAAGCUGCUGUGGAAUCGGCCUGAGGUCCCAGACGCUGUCCAUUGUGCUGCUGCUCUCUGCUUUCUCCAGCCAGAGUGCCAGUUCAUCCGCUUUUGGGAGAACUCCGCCGCCUGGCCUGCCCGCGGAAAAGGAACACUACAAGGCCUGUUAGAGAAGAAAGGGUAGAAUCCCGAGAAUGUUUUCCCCACAGUGCUGAUAAGGAGAGACCACUAUCCCAUCUACUGCUACAGCUCUGGAGACAGAGCUCUCCCACCUGUCAUAUAGAACACAAGGACCAAUCUGCAGAGAAAGAGCAUCCAAACCUGAUCCAGUGGACACUGGGGAAAAACUCACCACAGCUGAGUGUGGAAAAACAAGGCCAACACACACAUCUCUGCACAGAUACAUCUCCCAUAAAGAAACUAAAGUGUUAAUUUACAGGGCACUGUUGCAGACCCACUUCAGCUGGAAGCUAGGAACAUGGACAAGGAGCCUCUCUACCACCAAGGGAGAGAGAGGAAUGUGCUCUUGUCCUGGCAUUGCAUCCACAGGAGGGGCAGGAAAUUCUUUGAAGGUCAGUAACCCCAUACCCCAAUUAACAGUGCUUAAGUGUGAGGCUCCCUCAGAACAUCAGAGAUAUCCUCACUCCCUCACCCCUGCCACCAGGCUAAGAAGCAUGGAGCAAAAAAAAAAAAAAAAAAAACAGAACAAAA